rnacentral:lncRNA from 1 species
AGUCACACCUUCAGGCUCCACGUCUGAUUCUAGUUCUCUUGCUGUUUCCACCACAUCUGCAGUUACUUCCUCCACUGAAGUCUUGAACCCCUGAAAGUCUUCCAUGAGAGUUGGAAUCAGCUUCUUCCAGGCUCCUGUUAAUGUUGGUGAGCAAAAUAUUCCAGAUGAACAAACUAUCUUGUGGAGGAACCAGCAGAAAACUGACAGGUGGACUUAACCACUGUGGCCGCAAAGCCUUCAGAAGCAGAAAAGCAUGGGAUUCCUCGCCUUGCCCUGCUUGUCUCCUGUCUCCUCUCCCUACAUUGAUGAUGCUAAAGAAGGAGAUAAAGGAAGAAGAUCCUUGCUUAAGGAAGUAGCCUGGCUUGCAAGAUAAUU